rnacentral:rRNA from 1 species
UACAGAGGGUGCGAGCGUUAAUCGGAAUUACUGGGCGUAAAGCGCACGUAGGUGGCUGUGUAAGUCGGGUGUGAAAUCCCCGGGCUCAACCUGGGAACUGCAUUCGAGACUGCAUAGCUGGAGUACGGAAGAGGAGGGCGGAAUUCCCGGUGUAGCGGUGAAAUGCGUAGAUAUCGGGAGGAAUACCAGUGGCGAAGGCGGCUUCUUGGCCUAUUCUUGACGCUGAGGCGCGAAAGCUGGGGGAGCAAACGGG